UGCAGUCGACGCGAAGUCCCGCAAGGGGCAAGUAGAGUGGCAAACGGGUGAGUAACACGUGGGUGACCUGCCUUCGAGUGGGGGAUAACGUCCCGAAAGGGACGCUAAUACCGCAUGACAUCCUGCGUUUGGAAACGCGGAGAUCAAAGCCGGGGAUCGCAAGACCUGGCGCUUGAAGAGGGGCCCGCGCCUGAUUAGCUAGUUGGUGGGGUAACGGCUCACCAAGGCAACGAUCAGUAUCCGGCCUGAGAGGGCGGACGGACACACUGGGACUGAGACACGGCCCAGACUCCUACGGGAGGCAGCAGUGGGGAAUUGUUCGCAAUGGGCGCAAGCCUGACGACGCAACGCCGCGUGGAGGACGAAGAUCUUCGGGUCGUAAACUCCUGUCGAGCGGGAAGAACGCUUCCCGGGUGAAUAACCUGGGGAGGUGACGGUACCGCUAAAGGAAGCCCCGGCUAACUCCGUGCCAGCAGCCGCGGUAAUACGGGGGGGGCAAGCGUUGUUCGGAAUUACUGGGCGUAAAGGGCUCGUAGGCGGCCAACUAAGUCGGAUGUGAAAUCCCCAGGCUCAACUUGGGAACUGCAUCCGAUACUGGAUGGCUUGAAUCCGGGAGAGGGAUGCAGAAUUCCAGGUGUAGCGGUGAAAUGCGUAGAUAUCU
rnacentral:rRNA from 1 species